rnacentral:rRNA from 1 species
AUGAACGCUGGCGGCGUGUCUCAUACAUGCAAGUCGAGCGAACAGACGAGGAGCUUGCUCCUCUGACGUUAGCGGCGGACGGGUGAGUAACACGUGGAUAACCUACCUAUAAGACUGGGAUAACUUCGGGAAACCGGAGCUAAUACCGGAUAAUAUAUUGAACCGCAUGGUUCAAUAGUGAAAGACGGUUUUGCUGUCACUUAUAGAUGGAUCCGCGCCGCAUUAGCUAGUUGGUAAGGUAACGGCUUACCAAGGCAACGAUGCGUAGCCGACCUGAGAGGGUGAUCGGCCACACUGGAACUGAGACACGGUCCAGACUCCUACGGGAGGCAGCAGUAGGGAAUCUUCCGCAAUGGGCGAAAGCUUGACGGAGCAACGCCGCGUGAGUGAUGAAGGUCUUCGGAUCGUAAAACUCUGUUAUUAGGGAAGAACAAAUGUGUAAGUAACUAUGCACGUCUUGACGGUACCUAAUCAGAAAGCCACGGCUAACUACGUG